GAUGAAGAACGUAGCGAAAUGCGAUAAGUAAUGUGAAUUGCAGAAUUCAGUGAAUCAUCGAAUCUUUGAACGCACCUUGCACCCUUUGGCAUUCCGAAGGGUAUGCUCGUUUGAGUGUCAUUGUACUCUCACACUUCCAAUCUUUGGAUUGGGAGCAGUGGACUUGGGUGUUGCUGCUUACUGCGGCUCACCUCAAAUCGAUUCGUGCACCUCUUGGUUGGACAUAGUACGGCGUGAUAAGUGUCUUCGCCGGCACCUCAGUAGAGGGUGGCUGAUCAGGAGCUCUGUGCUUCAAACCGUCCUCGGACAAAAACUGACAACUUGACCUCAAAUCGAGUAGGACUACCCGCUGAACUUAAGCAUAUCAAUAAGCGGAGGA
rnacentral:misc_RNA from 1 species